UACGUAGGGUGCAAGCGUUGUCCGGAAUUAUUGGGCGUAAAGAGCUCGUAGGCGGUUCGUCGCGUCGGCUGUGAAAACCUGAGGCUCAACCUCAGGCCUGCAGUCGAUACGGGCGGACUUGAGUACUGCAGGGGAGACUGGAAUUCCUGGUGUAGCGGUGAAAUGCGCAGAUAUCAGGAGGAACACCGAUGGCGAAGGCGGGUCUCUGGGCCGAUACUGACGCUGAGGAGCGAAAGCGUGGGGAGCGAACAGG
rnacentral:rRNA from 1 species